rnacentral:rRNA from 1 species
UUGUUGCCAUACUAGAUAUGGCAGUAAUGCAGUUAACACAUUAAGUGUACCGCCUGGGGAGUACGGUCGCAAGAUUAAAACUCAAAGGAAUAGACGGGGACCCGCACAAGCGGUGGAGCAUGUGGUUUAAUUUGACGAUACGCGAAGAACCUUACCUGGACUUGACAUAGUAAGAACUUUCUAGAGAUAGAUUGGUGUCUGCUUGCAGAAACUUAUAUACAGGUGCUGCACGGCUGUCGUCAGCUCGUGUCGUGAGAUGUUGGGUUAAGUCCCGCAACGAGCGCAACCCUCGUCGUUAGUUGCUAACAGUUCGGCUGAGAACUCUAACGAGACUGCCUGGGUAACCAGGAGGAAGGUGAGGACGACGUCAAGUCAUCAUGGCCCUUACGUCCAGGGCUACACACGUGCUACAAUGGGGUAUACAAAGAGCAGCAAUACCGCGAGGUGGAGCAAAUCUCAAAAAUGCCUCCCAGUUCGGAUAGCACCCUGCAACUCGAGUGCUUGAAGUUGGAAUCGCUAGUAAUCGUAGAUCAGCAAUGCUACGGUGAAUACGUUCCCGGGUCUUGUACUCACCGCCCGUCACACCAUGGGAGUUGAUUUCAUUCGAAGCGGGGAUGCUAAAGUAGCUACCUUCCACAGUGGAAUCAGCGACUGGGGUGAAGUCGUAACAAGGUAACCGUAGGAGAACCUGCGGCUGGAUCACCUCCUU